CGGGACGGGUGAGUAACGCGUGGGUAACCGUGCCUCAUACAGGGGGAUAGCAGCUGGAAACGGCUGGUAAUACCGCAUAAGCGCACAGUACCACAUGGUACAGUGUGAAAAACUCCGGUGGUAUGAGAUGGACCCGCGUCUGAUUAGCUGGUUGGCGGGGUAACGGCCCACCAAGGCGACGAUCAGUAGCCGACCUGAGAGGGUGACCGGCCACAUUGGGACUGAGACACGGCCCAG
rnacentral:rRNA from 1 species